rnacentral:rRNA from 1 species
GAUGGACGCUGGCGGCGUGCCUAAUACAUGCAAGUAGAACGCUGAAGGAAGGAGCUUGCUCUUUCCGGAUGAGUUGCGAACGGGUGAGUAACGCGUAGGUAACCUGCCUGGUAGCGGGGGAUAACUAUUGGAAACGAUAGCUAAUACCGCAUAACAGUAGAUGUUGCAUGAUAUCUACUUAAAAGGUGCAAUUGCACCACUACCAGAUGGACCUGCGUUUUAUUAGCUAGUUGGUGAGGUAACGGCUCACCAAGGCGACGAUACAUAGCCGACCUGAGAGGGUGAUCGGCCACACUGGGACUGAGACACGGCCCAGACUCCUACGGGAGGCAGCAGUAGGGAAUCUUCGGCAAUGGACGGAAGUCUGACCGAGCAACGCCGCGUGAGUGAAGAAGGUUUUCGGAUCGUAAAGCUCUGUUGUAAGAGAAGAACGAGUGUGAGAGUGGAAAGUUCACACUGUGACGGUAUCUUACCAGAAAGGGACGGCUAACUACGUG